AUGGAACCUGUUGAGAUUCCCCAAGGGGUUGAUGCCAGGCCUGGGUGUUCUUUGACACCAACUGACCCUGUGUCCAAGGUGCUCAGUGAUGAUGACCUCCUAAUCGAGAUCCUCCUCCGCCUCACUCCGAAGCCAUCCUCCCUCCGCAACGCCUCCCUCAUCUACAAGCGAUGGCGCCGCAUCCUCUUCGACCCCCAAUUCCUCGGGCGCUUCCGCAAACACCAUUGGAAGCUCCUCGGCUUCUUCUACCAACAAUUUAAUGAAGCACCCAUCUUCACUCCAAUUUCGGACCAGUUGGACCUCAUCGCCGUAGCGUUGCCGGAGAACCUGUCUGGUCCUUAUUCUCUAGGUGGCGUCUUCCUUGGCUGCCGCGAUGGCAUCACCCUCGUCCUCGACCGCGCACGCCAUAAGGCCAUCAUUUGGGAACCCACCACCGGGGGCAAAAACCAUGUGACUUUUCCACCAGCAGUCAGUCAUGGCUUCGAUACCUCUGUUGUGAGCGCAGCGGUGAUGUGUUCUGCCCGCGACGUGCAUCAGCACUUGCACAACGAGAACUGCUUGAACACAUUCAAACUGGUACUGGUGUGCCAGGAAGAUUUCGCUAACCAAACAAAGGUGUCUGUUUGCCUCUACGACUCCAAGUCUAAUACAUGGGGAGAUAUUAUAUCCAUAACGGGUACAUGCAAGAUUGCUAAUGUGGCAAGGCCCAGCGUCAUAGUUGGGAAUGCACUUUACUGGUUGCUCUCUGGAGCAAACAUCCUUGAGUUUGAUUGUGAAAGGCAGACCCUUGUUGUAAUUGAGAAGCCGACAACAUAUGCCCAUGUUACUGGUUCUAGCGUCGACAUGUCCUUCCAGAUCUUACGAGGAGAGUAUAAUUGCCUUGGCCUUGCGGUUCUUUCAAAGUUAAAACUGAGCAUUCAGUUAUGGGGGAGGAAGUCAAAUGGUGAUGGUAUUGUCUCAUGGGUGCUGCAGAAAUGUGUUCAACUGGAUGAGCUCUUUUCAAGACCCGCACGCAGGAAAAAUGUCAUCCUCUUGGCAGGCUAUGAUGAGGACACAAAUGCGAUAUUUCUGUCUUCGGAUUCUCAUGAUUUCAUCCUGCAGCUCGAGUCGGUGCAGUUCAGAUAUAUUGGAAGGAGAGAAUGCACACACUUCCGAAUGUAUUAUCCGUAUACAAAUUUCUACAUUGCAGAGAGGCCACCUCAGUCUUGGAUCAAAGAAGAGUGA
rnacentral:rRNA from 1 species